rnacentral:lncRNA from 1 species
GGCGAGUUGAGGCCGACGGCCUCAAAGGCGCGCGUCCACAGCGUGCUGUCGAGACGCCGCGGGGCCAUAAAGAGACACGGCACGCCGUGGACAGACACGACACAGAGGUCGGCCGCAAAGAGUUGCGACAGACGCGGGACAUAGCCGUCGCGCGCCAACGAGGCACAGCCGGCCGAUACGCCCUCGGCGCCCGGCAUGUAGGCAACGAUCGAGGCGUCGACAAAGGCCCGCAGGCGCUUCCAAAAGGCCGGGUCAUUGACCGGCAGGAGAGACACCACAUCACGUGCCGGUGGCGGCUCACUCUCGGUCCACCCGGCGAGCCGCAAGAGGUCGCGCGGGCUGAUCGACCUCACACGGUGGAUGGCACGGUCGCCCUGUCGGGCGAGAUCAGGCGGCACGGCAAAGGUGCCCGGCUCGAGAUUGGCCAGGCGCACCGUGUGCGGCUCACGUGCGAGUCCCGGUCCCGUCGCCGCCAAGAGCCGACCGCCAAAAAGGGCCUCUGGCACGCCAGACUCGCACAGCCGAUCCGUGGGCAUGACCAACCACGAUGUGAGGUCGCGCGUCGAGGCCGUCUCCAUGGUGAUGCCGGCGGCGGCCAAGACUGGCGAUGUGCGCUUGGGUCCCCCCUCCCCGACAGGCGUACGACUGGCCCACGAGGCGAUUGCAGCACAUAAACUCGGGUCGGGCACCCAGGUGCGCAUGAGAGCGUCGUCGUCGGUCGACCAGGCCAUGUAGGCAUAGAGGACGGCGCGCACCAUGGCGUGCACGACCGGCACCAGACCUCUGACGCCGAGCACGGUCGCCACAAAGGCAUAGUAGGCCGCCGAGACCGUGAUCGUGUUGCCGUGUCGGUGAUCAACCACCGACACGCGCGCGCGCGUCCAUGCCUCGCGCACGAUGGGAUUGUCGGUGACGGCACAGGAGAGCAUCGCGGCAGCAGGAUCGUCAAUGGCCAUGCCUUCCACGGCGCGCGUCAACGAAUUGAUUUCGUAUUGUGGCGGCAAUGGCGAUGCCGUCGAUUGCGCCAACAUCACGCACGAGUCUGGAUUUGCAGACCAUUCACAUUGGAUCGCUUCCAAAUAGGGGCUCGCCAGAUAUCGGGCGGCAGGGACAGUCUCACCGGGCGCCGCUGACGCUGCAGACAAGGGCAUGGACGGGGGAGGUGGUGACGGUGGUCUGCUUGCUUGCUCCAACAACACGGGCACGGGCGAACCAAGUUGGGGCGACGAUGGAGACGUCGAAACCAUGGAAAAGUGAGCAGACGAGGUCAUCGAGUGUGGCAACAGCGCGGUUUGAUGUAUGGGGAGAAAUACAAGGGCAGGCGCGCCAAAGGAAGGAAGGGUGGCGGCCCAUCGUAGCAAC